rnacentral:misc_RNA from 1 species
AUUUGCUUUUUUAACGUGUUUAUAUGCUGUAUACUUGUUAUAAGUGUUCAUCAACAUGGUUGAAAGUUAGUUAUUUUUAGUUAUUUAUGCUUUUAUCAAAAAGCGAGAGGGGAAUGUGGGAGCGAAGAGUGCAGCUGCUUGAGAUAUAAAAAGCAGCGAGGACGCUGCUUUUUAUAUCUUGUUG